GCUCAGAUCCAUUCACCUACUAGCUUAGGCUUUUGGUUGGAUUUUAAUAUAAAGAAAUUAAUUACCUAUUAUUUAGAGGCUGUAGCAUUUUAAAAGACUUAAUGUAGCUAACUCUUUCUUUUCCCCCUUUUUCUGGUUCGUAGGAAGGCCCUUAACCUGAAGAGAUGAUCUUGUAGUAACCUUAGUGUAAUCUUUAGCCUCAAGGCAGAAACUUCAAAGAUGAUCUUGUAGGAACCUUGACCAUGAUUCUUGAUAGCCUAAUUAAAUCUUAUUCACAACCCU
rnacentral:lncRNA from 1 species